ACUUGGGCACCGUAACUUUCUCAGUUCGCUGCUGGAAAAAUGUGACGGAGUAAGCGAUACCAGGAGACGAGCCACCUAUUUUAUUUUAUUAUUUAUUUGCAUGUCUAUGCCGCCACCUUUUACAGUUUCGUUUUAUCUUGGGGGAGCUGAAUUAACCAUAGUUAGGUAUACAAGACAGAAAGCUUGUGUAGAUUUCAGGGGAUAUUUCCUUUUUAAAAUUCAAAAUGUUUGGGUCCCAUUUAUGUUUUGCCCCAAACUUUGGGGGGAAACAAGGGUUCCUUUCAGCAUGGAGUAUGUACAUGCCAUGCUAAAGUUAAACGUGCAUUUAUGUUAUCCCUGCUAACUGAGGUCAGAGGCACCUUUUUAAAGUGGUGAUUCUCUUUAUUGAGCAGGGGAGAGAGCAACUGGCCCUAUCCAUCCCCAGCACAGCAUCCCUCCAGUGGCUGUUGCUGGGAUCUAUCCUAUGUUUCUUUUUAGAUUGUGAUCCCUUUGAGGACAUGGAGCCAUUUAUUUUAUUUUAUUUUAUUUAUUUAUAUGUAAACCGCUUGUUGUUAUCAUCGCAUUUCCACAAUGUGAACUCUACCAAUUGGACUCAUGGAAAAAUGGCAGUAAAGCACCUGCUAUCCAUCACCAAGGUUGUGAUUGCAGCUGGAUAGAAAACUUGGAAAGGAAACUGCACUUUGGAGAACUCUCCAUGCUGAGAGAUGGCCAACGUUGCUUGUGUGAUAUUGGUGGCGAUGUGUGUUCAUUUCUGUCAUCUCAAAUUCAGAAAGAUUGUGAGAAGCGUUGAGGAUUUUGUUCUCGUUUUUGAGCCUGAAGACACUGAGAAGAACAUAGUGCUUUGACUUUGGCUGCAUUGAUCACUGCUGCACACCAUAUGGCAUCCUUUCCCAGAAAUUUCUGAAAACAUCAGGACCAGAUUUUUAAAGGUUGCUGCAGCAGGAAAGGGUGGACAAGAAAGUUACAUUCGAUCAAGCAGUUCUGGGACUUUCUUUGCCCUUUGCCCCAUCAUUUGCAUGGAUGGUGCAUUUAAGAUCAUCUUGCAGCACGAUUUGAUUUUUGAGCUUUUCGCCCCAGUCAUCAACAAUGUAUUCGUGAUAAGGGUCGUUGGAGUGCUCUUGCCUCUUUGAUUUCACAGUGCUCACUAGGAUAGCUACAACGAUGAAGGAGAAGAUGCCAAUCAUAACCAUGAUAUACAUAAUGACAUAGUCAAAGUUUUCGGCAUUGAGUUUUUCUUGCAAUGCCUCUUCUUUAUCUGUGGUAUUUCUUUGCCAGCUAUUCAUGUAGUUGAGGAAUAUCUCCUUGAAAGUAUCUUCCAGAGCCUGAGUGUAAUUUCGUAAAUCAGCCAUAUUUUCAGUGAAUUGUCCUUAAAAACAAAAAGAGAUAUCAAUAAUCUGUGUGUGGUAGAACCAUUUGCAGCUAUCUUGGGGAAAGGGCAUAGGGUACUUGUCUAUAAUCUACAGAAGCACAAAGAUAUAUUGGAUGGUUGAUAUAGUCAUGCUAAUGGGGAAAAAGUUCAAACUAUGUAGUAAAGGGCAGAUUAGAAUCAUCAAGAAGUUUUCUUUUUAAAUGUGGAGGUCAAGCAAAAACUGUGUUCUACCCAGCUUUGGGAGCUGAGUGUGCUCCCAAUUUUUGGUUGUGUGGGUGCAAACAACUAGGUAGGAGGAGGGAGACGUGAUUGUGCAGAAGCAAGGUAGGAGGAAAAGUUACCCAGUCACUUACCCAGUUAACGUUACCCAGUACACAGUCACUUCUCCCUCCUCCUACUUAGUUGUUUGUACCCACACAACUGAAAAUUGGGAGCACACACAGCUCUCAAACCUGGGUAGAACGUUCCUGCUUCUGUGAAUGACCUCAUAGGGUGUUGGAUUAGUCACAG